UACAGAGGGUGCGAGGCGUUGUCCGGAAUUAUUGGGCGUAAAGGGCUCGGUAGGCGGUUUGUCGCGUCGAAUGUGAAAACCCGGGGCUCAACCCCGGGCCUGCAUUCGAUACGGGCAGACUAGAGUUCGGUAGGGGAGUCUGGAAUCCUGGUGUAGCGGUGAAAAUGCGCAGAUACGUCAGGAGGAACACCCGGUGGCGAAGGCGGGGUCUCUGGGCCGGAUACUGACGGCUGAGGAGCGAAAGCGUGGGGAGCAACCGG
rnacentral:rRNA from 1 species